rnacentral:lncRNA from 1 species
AAAUUCUUCCCAGCCCUUUGAGCUCCGGCCCUAGGCCGGUCUGCUUCGUUCAUCGGACCUCCGUGCUCAGCCUCACGCGCCGUCACCAACUCCGCCACACACGGCGGUCGGGAUUCGAAAAGCUUCGCUUUUCUCGGCGAAUCUCGAAGGUAUCUUUCUCUCCUCUAUUUUAAUGUAUUAUAUAUAAGUUAUUUACAAUAAAGCAGUAAAAUAAAAGUAGAAACAAUAUAUCACCUUCGUUUCUCUCGAAAUCCUUCUGAUAUAUUAUUGCAAAAAAUAUUUGGAGUACAAUAUUUUUGUGGUCUGUUUCUCUUUCUGUGUAUUUUUUUUUAUGCUUCUCUGUAUAUCUAUCAGCGUAAGUGGUCUUACAGAUUUAAGAAAAGGCUUUAUAGCCUUAAUCUUCUGCCUAUUUUGGAAAGAAAUCAAAAGAUUUCUUUCCAAACCCUGUUCUAAUCUAUUUGUUGUAGUUUUGCUUUGAUUUCUUUCCUUUUCCUGCAGGUGACUGCGAGGAUCUCGGUGGCGAGACAAGGCUGAGGUGUAGCGCGCUGAUGGAGCCUUGACGUGAGGCCAAUAGACACUCCCCGAAAGUUCUGGAGCUUCGUGAAACGAAAGGGCACUAAUUGGGCAUGACGUUUGAGGCGCCUGAAGCUUCCAGAAUGCUUUGCGGCGCGAGGAUAAAGAGAGCUAGGGUUUCUAACCCUAUCUGAAAGUCAUUUGGGGCCCCUACUAUUUAGGCCUUCGAGUUUAUUGGUAUUAGGUGGGUCUGUUUGGGUCUGUUGUAAUGGGUCCAGUUUAAGUUGGGCUACGGGUGUAUUUGGGUACAUGGGUAGU